rnacentral:rRNA from 1 species
CAGAGGGUGCGAGCGUUGUUCGGAAUUACUGGGCGUAAAGCGCGCGCAGGCGGCUCUUUAAGUCUGACGGUGAAAUGCCAGGGCUCAACCCCGUGCCCGCCGCGGAUACUGGAGAGCUGGAGACACGUAGAGGCAAGCGGAAUUCCGGGUGUAGCGGUGGAAUGCGUAGAGAUCCGGAAGAACACCGGAGGCGAAGGCGGCUUGCUGGGCGUAGUCUGACGCUGAGGCGCGAAAGCGUGGGGAGCGAACAGGAUUAGAUACCCUGGUAGUCCACGCCGUAAACGAUGGGCACUAGACGCGGGUGGGAUCGACCCCUUCCGUGUCGCAGCUAACGCGAUAAGUGCCCUGCCUGGGGAGUACGGCCGCAAGGCUG